rnacentral:rRNA from 1 species
GAUGAACGCUGGCGGCGUGCCUAACACAUGCAAGUCGAACGGAGUCGUUCUUGCAAUCUCUUCGGAGAUGGAAGUCUCGACUUAGGGUCGGACGGACGAGUAACGCGUGAGCAAUCUUCCUUGAAAAGGGGGAUAACAGGCGGAAACGGCUGCUAAUACCGCAUAAAGCAUUAAAUUCGCAUGUGUUUGAUGCCAAAUGAGCAAUCCGCUUUUCGAUGAGCUCGCGUCUGGUUGGCUAGUUGGCGGGGUAACGGCCCACCAAGGCGACGCUCAGUAGCCGGACUGAGGGGUUGAACGGCCGCCUUGGGACUGAGACGCGGCAGAGCCGCCUACGGGAGGCCGCAGUGGGGAAUAUUGCGGCAUGGGGGACACCCUGACGAAGCAACGCCGCGUGAUUGAAGACGCCUUUCGGGUUGUAAAGAUCUUUAAUCAGGGACGAAACAAAUGACGGUACCUGAAGAAUAAGCGCCGGCUAACUACGUG